GCUCAACCGGGGAGGGUCAUUGGAAACUGGGGAACUUGAGUGCAGAAGAGGAGAGUAGAAUUCCACGUGUAGCGGUGAAAUGCGUAGAGAUGUGGAGGAACACCAGUGGCGAAGGCGACUCUCUGGUCUGUAACUGACGCUGAGGAGCGAAAGCGUGGGGAGCGAACAGGAUUAGAUACCCUGGUAGUCCACGCCGUAAACGAUGAGUGCUAAGUGUCAGGGGGUUUCCGCCCCUUAGUGCUGCAGCUAACGCAUUAAGCACUCCGCCUGGGGAGUACGGUCGCAAGACUGAAACUCAAAGGAAUUGACAGGGGCCCGCACAAGCGGUGGAGCAUGUGGUUUAAUUCGAAGCAACGCGAAGAACCUUACCAGGUCUUGACAUCCUCUGACAGUCCUAGAGAUAGGACGUCCCCUUCGGGGGCAGAGUGACAGGUGGUGCAUGGUUGUCGUCAGCUCGUGUCGUGAGAUGUUGGGUUAAGUCCCGCAACGAGCGCAACCCUUGAUCUUAGUUGCCAGCAUUCAGUUGGGCACUCUAAGGUGACUGCCGGUGACAAACCGGAGGAAGGUGGGGAUGACGUCAAAUCAUCAUGCCCCUUAUGACCUGGGCUACACACGUGCUACAAUGGACAGAACAAAG
rnacentral:rRNA from 1 species